AUUCCAGAUUCCUCACCUAUCAGAUCUGAAACAUGGGUCUGGGUGGCAAUAAAAAGUAGGGAAAAGUAAAACUGAAAGGGACUUGGACUCUUUUGUGACAUACAAGUUGGUUCCAGACAGACAGAC
rnacentral:snoRNA from 1 species